rnacentral:rRNA from 1 species
AACGAACGCUGGCGGCAUGCCUAACACAUGCAAGUCGAACGAGACCUUCGGGUCUAGUGGCGCACGGGUGCGUAACGCGUGGGAACCUGCCCUUAGGUUCGGAAUAACUCCCCGAAAGGGGUGCUAAUACCGGAUAAUGUCUUCGGACCAAAGAUUUAUCGCCUUUGGAUGGGCCCGCGUUGGAUUAGCUAUUUGUUGGGGUAAUAGCUUACCAAGGCGACGAUCCGGAACUGGUCUGAGAGGAUGAUCAGCCACACGGGAACUGAGACACGGCCCAGACUCCUACGGGAGGCAGCAGGAGGGAAGCUUGCGCAAUGGGCGAAAGCCUGAGGGAGCAACGCCGCGUGAGUGAUGAAGGUCUUCGGAUCGUAAAACUCUGUUAUUAGGGAAGAACAAAUGUGUAAGUAACUAUGCACGUCUUGACGGUACCUAAUCAGAAAGCCACGGCUAACUACGUG